AGUGAACGCUGGCGGUAGGCCUAACACAUGCAAGUCGAACGGCAGCACAGUAAGCGCUUGCUCUUACGGGUGGCGAGUGGCGGACGAGUGAGGAAUACAUCGGAAUCUACUUUUUCGUGGGGGAUAACGUAGGGAAACUUACGCUAAUACCGCAUACGACCUACGGGUGAAAGCAGGGGAUCUUCGGACCUUGCGCGACUGAAUGAGCCGAUGCCGGAUUAGCUAGUUGGCGGGGUAAAGGCCCACCAAGGCGACGAUCCGUAGCUGGUCUGAGAGGAUGAUCAGCCACACUGGAAAUGAGACACGGUCCAGACUCCUACGGGAGGCAGCAGUGGGGAAUAUUGGGCAAUGGGCGCAAGCCUGAUCCAGCCAUACAGCGUGGGUGAAGAAGGCCUUCGGGUUGUAAAGCCCUUUUGUUGGGAAAGAAAAGCAGCAGGUUAAUACCCCGCUGUUCUGACGGUACCCAAAGAAUAAGCACCGGCUAACUUCGUG
rnacentral:rRNA from 1 species